rnacentral:rRNA from 1 species
UUACGGGAGGCAGCAGUAGGGAAUAUUGGUCAAUGGAGGCAACUCUGAACCAGCCAUGCCGCGUGCAGGAUGACGGCCCUCUGGGUUGUAAACUGCUUUUAUACGGGAAGAAAAAAUACUACGUGUAGUAUAUUGACGGUACCGUAAGAAUAAGGAUCGGCUAACUCCGUGCCAGCAGCCGCGGUAAUACGGAGGAUCCAAGCGUUGUCCGGAUUUAUUGGGUUUAAAGGGUGCGUAGGCGGAUCUUUAAGUCAGUGGUGAAAGCCUGCAGCUCAACUGUAGAAUUGCCAUUGAAACUGAAGAUCUUGAAUUAGGUUAAAGUAGGCGGAAUGUAUCAUGUAGCGGUGAAAUGCUUAGAUAUGAUACAGAACACCGAUAGCGAAGGCAGCUUGCUGAACCUAUAUUGACGCUGAGGCACGAAAGCGUGGGGAGCGAACAGGAUUAGAUACCCUCGUAC